AUUGAACGCUGGCGGCGUGCCUAACACAUGCAAGUCGAGCGGUAACAGGUGUAGCAAUACAUGCUGACGAGCGGCGAACGGGUGAGUAAUGCUUCGGAAUCUACCCAAUGGUGGGGAAUAACCAGCCGAAAGGUUGGCUAAUACCGCAUACGUCUCACGGGAGAAAGCAGGGGAUCGCAAGACCUUGCGCCAAUGGAUGAGCCGAAGUCGGAUUAGCUAGNGGUAGGGUAACGGCCUACCAAGGCGACGAUCCGUAGCUGGUCUGAGAGGACGACCAGCCACACUGGGACUGAGACACGGCCCAGACUCCUACGGGAGGCAGCAGUGGGGAAUAUUGGACAAUGGGGGAAACCCUGAUCCAGCGACGCCGCGUGUGUGAAGAAGGCCUGCGGGUUGUAAAGCACUUUUAGUGGGGAUGAAAUGUUCAGGGUUAACACCUCUGGAUUUUGACCUAACCCAACAGAAAAGCACCGGCUAACUCUGUGCCAGCCGCCGCCGUAAC
rnacentral:rRNA from 1 species